rnacentral:rRNA from 1 species
AACCUGCGGAAGGAUCAUUACCUAGAGUUGU